GUAGGGACGACCAUGGGACCACAGGGGAGCUCUGAGCGACCAACUGGAGUACUUCCAUCCAUGUGCCCUCCUUUAGGCCAUAAGACAGCCCUGGUUCUACAUGUGAGCACAUCCUUUUGGCUCCGUCUUCGAGAUACUCAGUCCAACCACACCUGACCACUCGGCCUCGCCACCGUCGUGUUCAUCCGGAGGAACCAUAGUGCCCUCCUGACAGUCUCCCACUCGGGUGGGCUGGGUAACGUCUCUCCUCCCCCAAAGAGGUCUGCGUCGCAAUCUGUAACCUGUGACUGUGUCACCUUACGUAGUAAGAGGGACUUCGCAGACGGAAUUAAAUUGAGGACGUUGAGAUGGGAGAUUAUCUUGGAUUAUCCAAGCGGGCCCAAGGUCCCUCCUUUUGAGAGGCGGGCGAGGACAGAAGGCAGAAGGUGACGUAACAGUGGCAGCAAGUGUGGUGUGACGUGGGGCCGCGAGCCCAAGAAACGGCAGCCUCUAGAAACGGGUUCUCUUCUAGAGCCUUCGGAAAGAACACAACCCUGCCAACACAGACCUCCAAAACGGUAGAAUAAAUGUGUGUUGUUUUAAGCUG